rnacentral:lncRNA from 1 species
AGAGUAGCAGUUGGUGGGUUGAGUAGUCUCCUCAAAUGGGCUUGCAUACAUCCAUUAAUAAUGCAGGUGGUAUUGAUUUGGGCCUAUGGGCCAUAUCGUUUACAGUAAAGGCUUCGACCCAGUGAUAUGAUAAUGAAAAGGCUUCGGCCCAGUGACAUGAAUAAUGCAAAGGCUUCGGCCCAGUAUAUGUUGGGAUUGAAGUUGGGCUUAGGCCCAGCGGGCUGAUAUUAUUUUGGGCUCUAAAAGGGGCUUGUUGCAC